rnacentral:rRNA from 1 species
UGAGCAAUCUGCCCUUCUCAUCGGAAUAAGCGUUGGAAACGACGUCUAAUGCCGAAUACGACCUCCUUUCGCAUGAUCGGAGGUGGAAAGCUCCGGCGGAGAAGGAUGAGCUCGCGGCCUAUCAGCUAGUUGGUGUGGGUAAUGGCCCACAAGGCGACGACGGGUAGCCGGCCUGAGAGGGUGACCGGCCACACGUGGGACUGAGACACGGUCCAGACUCCGUA